AGAGCAAAACUUUCCACUCUGUAAGUGCAUGUAAGUGCAGACCAUGCAUAACGACUUUUUUUUUUUUCCCCAAAAAGUACUUCAUGGAAAGAAAAACAGUAACUUUACAAAUACUAUCUCAAGCCAGGUGAUCAAGGUUAACAUCAACAGUGAUAAGUCAUAAUGAUAGUAUGUACCCUUCAAAUUAUAUGAUGAGAAUGCCAUCUUACCUCUCUGUCUUCCUCCCAAAAACAUAUUAACCAUGAGGAAAACAUCAAAUUCCAGUUAAAGGAGAUUCUACAAAAUAGGCCUGACCAGUAAUCUUCAAAAUUGUGAAGAUCACCAAAAUUGUCAAGAUCACCAAAAAUCUGAAAAACAGUCACAGUCCAGGGGAGCCUAAGGAGGAUAAGAACUAAAUGUGGUCCCAGACAAGAUCCUGGAACAGAAAAUGAACACUAAGGGAAAACUAAGGAAAUAUGAACAAGGAGAUUCCAUGAAAGGAGAGAGGCUGGCACAGCUGGUUGUUCUAUGGCCAUGAGGAGAAGCAUGACAAGAGAGAAGAGAUGCCACUAGAUGAAAAGAACUCUCCAGAGAAGAGUGGAGGCCCAAACUGGGAAGUUAGCUGUAGCAGCUGAUGUCACAAAGCCUGGCUGAGGACCAAAGAGAAACAGGUUCGUUUGGAAGUUCGUAUCUGAGCAGACUGGCUCAACCAGAAGUCCAGAAAAGUGUGGACCAGCUUCAACAGGACAGCACUAACACAGACUACUGCAGUCUCUGCACAGAGAGGCCUAAAGGAGAGGUCACAGCAGUACUCUGCAGGUAACACUCCAUUUCCAACGAGCAGAGAAUCCCAAAGGAGGUGAUUUAGUGAUGAUCUCCAUCAGCCCUAGAGAGGGAUCGUCGUGGUCAGGAGACCCAGUUUUAGAGCCCGAAUCCUGGCCAUUCAUUGCCUAUGUGACCAGGUUACUGAAUCUCCUCUUCAUAAAGUAAUUAUGAGGAUUCAGUGAGUUGCUACAGGCAAAACGCUUAGAACAGCGCCUGUUAUAUAACAACUAACAUCAAUGUAGACUUGCUAUUUUCACUGGUAUUUUUUUUUUUUUUUGACUAGCCACUUAAAUUCUGAUGUGUCUCAUGUUUGGUUAUUAGUGUCACCUAAAAGAAAUAAAACCAGUUCCUUGUUGCUUUUUUCCAUGAAAUGGCUUUUAGAUUAAUACCUCUGAAAAACUGCAACAAGUCAAAUUUUAAAAUAUUAACAAGUAACAUAUGCCCGGAGCAAUUCAAACUGUCUCCCUUCCCAGCUCUCCUGGAUCAGGAUAAACAAAGACCCACUUGGGUCCACAAGUCACAAAAUGAAGCAGCAGAGGAUGGGAUGAUUGUCAACAACACCCAAUAUGAAUGAGGACUAUGUCUUAGCGGCUCGGGAGAGACCCCCUCAGAUAGCAGGGCUGCCCCAAGGAUGGCCUGAGCCUGAUGAAGGGAAAGGAAAGGGGCAACUGACCUCCACAGGGAAAUGGGCUGCACAGGCACCUCCCUCAGCCCCACAACCACCCUGGCACCAGGGCCAGGCGAUUAUGUUGAGGAAGUCCUGACCAAGCAAGGAGUCAAACCGGGGACUCCCCGGUCCAGAGCCCAGCUCUCUCCGCUGUGGCCUCUAGAGGGGAGGACCCUGCCUUAUCCUGGGCUCAGGCAGCUGAGGAGAGAGGCUGAGUAAAAAGGAAAAGAUCAUGAAUGACUGUUCACUGUAGGAGAAAGGCUAGAUGUACACUCCACCUAUUUAAUAAGCCCUCAGGUGAUGAGAGGAUUAACAGCUGCAAAGAAUGCCAAAUCCUCUCAGGAUGGUUAGUGGUUAAGGAGACAGGUAAAUUGCUAAUAUUACAUGAACAAGGGUGAUUCCAACUGGUUAGAAAGCAGGGUGAGCUCGUUGUGAAGAAGCAAUUUGUCAUUUCCACCAUAAACCUUCGUGCGGUUAAAUGCCUCUCCAGGGAGGCAGAGACUUAGUGCAGCAGGAAGAGAGAGUAAGGAACAGCAGCUGCCCCAUUAUUUUUUACAUUCAUUAAAUGCAAAAGGGCUGGGUGGUGAACAGAAUACCCAGAGGCAGCAGGGCUCUGCUCAGUAGUUUUCAACCUGGACCUGAUGGAUUCACCAGAUUCAGCCACAGGGCACCCGCAUUAGUAGGCGAGGAGCUUCCACCCAGCAAAGGAUCCUGACCAAAAGGGCUUGAGUUGCCAAUUCUAGCUGCCUUCUGGGCCCAGUCACCAUGCAACAGGGAUGUGGAGAGGAGGUACAGGUGUCCACUGGGUAUAUACUAUGGGCCAGGCACGGUGCUAAGGACGUGACACCCAUUAUUGCAUUUACUUCUAACAGGGUUGACAUUGUCCAUUUUACAAAAGAAUUGACAGUUGAGUAAUUCACCCCUUUGCUGUCAAGAUGAGUGUCAGAGUCCCUGCCUUCAAAAAGACAAAUACACUGUGAUGCAUGCAGAAACAAAGGUCUCUCUAGAGUGUAAUGGUAACACAAAAGAAGAGAAAACUACUCUGCCAACAUCAGGGAAAGCUUCUAGAAGGGAUGAAAGCUCAAAUAGGCUCUGGAAGAUAAGCAGAAGUUGGGCUGAGGUUUGAAGAGACAGGCUUCAGCCGCAAUGGGAAGGGAGUGCUUCCCAGGUAGAAGGAAGAGGAGGAAUAGAAGUGGCCUCAACAGGACAUACUCAGGGCACAAGGCACAGCGGACCUAUAAUAUGCUGCUGUGGCCUCAGGUGCCAGGCAGAAUGCCAUGUGCCUUGCUCUGAGUUCAGACUCAAGCCUGGAAUCACCACAUGGUUUUAAGUAGGACAAUGCCUACAGAAUCAUCCUUAUACAGAUGAGCCAGGCAGCAGUGUGGAGGAUGGUGGGAGGGCACAGCCAAAGGCAUGGUGGCAGUCUGGAGGGCACUGCGGCAGCUGUCUAUGAAACACAACAGUCUGGGGCUGCACUGGUAGGAAGGAAUAGGGAGAGACACGAUUGAAAAAUAUUUAAGAGGCACAUCUGUAAGGGUGACCUAAGCCAGGGGUAGUGACAGAGAAGAAAGGUGACCCUGAGGUUUCCAGCUUACAUUCUUGAGUGGUCAAGAUGUCUUUCCAAGAGAUAAGGAAAUAUGAAAAACAAGUGCAUGUUCUUUUUCAGGGCAAAAAGGAGAGACUGCAGAAAUGAUAACUUCAGUUUUUUGACAUAUUGAAUUUAAGGUGCCUUUGGGAUAUCCAAAUGGGAGUGUCACACAGAAUAUACAAGUCUCAACCUCCAAAAAGAGUUUCAUAAAAUCAAAUAAUGGCCUUAUUUACAUCUAGUGACAUACACUGCCUGGCAGUGUUCCCAGACUAGAGAAAGGCACAAUCAGGGACACAGACAAUGCUGCCUGGACUGACAUUUGGUUAAACAGGGACAGUCGGCAUGUUCUUGUAGGAUCUCUGAGUCAGAUGUAAGCAGACUGGAGUCUUGCCUUGGUUCCAUACCACAACCAUACCACGUUCAAGCUUAGAAGUGAAUCCUAGAUUCCCCACUUACCACCUCUGCGAGCUAUGGCAAGUUAUUUAACCUCUUGGUACCUCAGUUUCCUCAUCUGGACAAUGGGAUAAUUAUUACACCUACACCACACAGAGUUGUUAUAAGGAUAAAGUAACAAAUCUUGUUAAGUGCUUUGCAUGGAGCCCGACACAGUAACAGCACAUAGUGCAGUCUGUACUCAAUUCUGGUUAAUGUUGAUAAGAACAACAAUGUAAUUAGUUUGAGGAAGUCUUUCUUUUUUUUUUGACAGAGUUUCGCUCUUGUUACCCAGGCUGGAGUGCAAUGGUGCAAUCUUGGCUCACCGCAACCCCUGCCUCCUGGGUUCAAGCAAUUCUCCUGCCUCAGCCUCCUGAGUAGCUGGGAUUACAGGCAUGCGGCACCAUGCCCAGCUAAUUUUGUAUUUUUAGUAGAGACAGGGUUUCUCCAUGUUGGUCAGGCUGGUCUUGAACUCCCAACCUCAGGUGAUCUGUUCGCCUUGGCCUCCCAAAGUGCUGGGAUUACAGGUGUGAGCCACCACACCAGGCAAGGGAGUCAUUUUCUUUAUGUGACCCUUACCUGUAAAAUAAGGAUAACGCCUGCUUUUUAUGGGAUUAUUGAAGACUAACAUUAGGUGACAGUGGAUAUGAAAAUUCACUUAAACAACUAGAAAGUGCUUCGUAAGUGAGAAAUCAGGGCCUUUCAGCAGGAAUCAAAGAGGUUUGCGCUCCCAGCAGAUCCGAUCAUCAGUGUGUGCUGCCAUGGCUUUCCGUCCUUGUCCUAUAAUAUGCUGCUUUUGGCUCCAAGAGGAAACUUGCCACACACCAGACCCUGUGUCAUGUGCUGAGUACCAAAAGGUCACAGAAGGGAAUACUAUUCAGCCAUAAAAAGGAAUAAACUUUUGAUACAUGCCACAGCAUGCAUGUACCUUAGAAACAUUAUGCUUAGUGAAAUAAGCCAGACACACAAGGACAAAUACAUGAGAUUUCACUUAUAUGAGGUUUCUAGGCUAGGCAAAUUCAUAGAGAUGGAGGAUGGAACAGAGGUUACCAAGGGCUACGGGAAAACAGAGCUAUUGUUUAAUGGGUACAGAGUUCAUCUUAGGAAGGAUGAAAAACAUUGGGGUAUACAUAGUGGUGAUGGAUACAAAGUAUUGUGAAUGUAUUUAAUGUCACUGAGUUGUACACUUACAAGUGAUUAAAAUGAUAAUUAUGUUGUGUGUGUGCAUAUACAUAUGUGUGCCAUAGAAGUCAUCAAAACAAAGAGUAGAUGCUCAAUGCAACCUGUUGCCAACACCAAGAACAUGAACCAAAGGGUCCCUAAAGGGUGGUUAGUGUAGUAGCGAGGAACUGACAUUCUGCAUAUCAUCCUGUUACAAUGGAUAAACACUGUUGGCUUCAGAGGACUCCCAAACAUGAGGUGUGUCAGUGCAAGAAACUGUGGACUGAGCUGGGCAAUAUCAAAUCCUCCCGUGGAAACUCAAUAACAUCAUUUCUUACUCUUGAGCAUAAAUAACUGUAAUAAAGCAAAGCACCUUAUUUAAAAGAUAGCAUCUGUUUUGCUUUGACAACAACUCCUGGCUCUUACUAACUCUUCUCUGCUGACAGAUAAUGCAUUCAGCAGUUCUGCCCCAGUUUAAAAAUCAUUCCCAAAUCACUUCACUUCCAGAGCAGAACCAAACUCCUCCUACUGAGUGACUUUUCAGUCUGGUGCAGAUUCAGGAAAAGAUAAAUGUAUUUUUCAUUAUGUAUUCAGUAGGUACUUAGCAAACCAGAUUCUCCUGAGGUGUGAUUCUCCUGGGAAUAAAAUCCUAGAAAUAAUCUACCACUCCCUCAAGCUCCCAAGUCUCUAUUCACACUAGCCUUCUUGCCAUUUCUUGAACCUGCGAAGCCCAUUCCUGCCCCCCAGGAAUGGUGACCUGGGGCACUUGCUGACCUCUGUCUGGAACAUUUCCUCCAGAUACCCACACGGCUCACUCCCUCUUUCCAUUCACAUCUCUAGAGACUCAAGUGUCAUCAGAACCCAGAAGCCUUCCGCAACAGUCUGUGCAAAAGAGCACCCACCCCUAUAAACUCCAUGCAGACAGGGACUUUGUUUUGUAGACUGCUGUAUCCCCAGAGCCUCAAAAAGUAUUGGCUCAAAAAGGGAAGUCAAUUUAUUUUUUCAAAUGAGUGGGGAAAAAAAUUAGGUCCUGCUGUCUGGGCACUGCUCUUUAUAUUGAUGAGAAUACCUCGCCCCCUAAGAAAGCAUUGAUUUGUUUCCUUUGACUGAGAAGACAGUUCUAAUCAUUCCAUCACACGCUGCUCAAUCCCUAUCAAGUGUUUUCUAAAAUUUAAUAAAGUCUGGGCCCCUUUUAAAGAAAAAAAAAUUGGCAAACACCCCGUGUUUAAAUGAAUAAAUAAUAUGUGGUAUAGCCAUGCUAUGGAAUGUUACUCAGCAACAAAAAGAAAUGAAGUACUGAUACAUGUCCCAAUAUGGAUGAACCUUGAAAACAUUACGCUAAAUGAAAGAAGCCAAAUACCAAAGGCCACAUAUUGUAUGAUGCCAUUUAAAAUGUCCAAAACAGGCAAAUCCAUAGAGACAGAAUGUAGAUUAGUAGUAGUCUGGGGCUAGGGGUGUUGGGGAAUCAGGGAUGAUGGAUUAGAGGUAUAGAGUUUCUUUUUGGGGUUCGCGCCCCAAACAUGUUUGAAAAUUGAUUGUGGUGAUGAUUAUACAACAUUAAGAAUAUACUAAAACUCACUGAAUUGUAUAUUUAAAUGGGCGAGUUAUAUGGUAUGCAAAUUAUACCUCAAAAAGCUGUUACCCAAAGAAGCGUUCCAAAUGAUGUCUGUUACAUCAUUUAAAUAUGUAAAGCAUAAAACUAGAUAGAAAUUACUUACAGGGUUUACAUAAAUUUAUAAAUUAAACACAAAUAAUGUAACCAAAACAAAUUAAGAAUGUUAAAGUCAGAGAAUACUUUGUCCUUGUAACUGAAAUGAUAUCACUGCUCACAACAGGAAUAUACAGUGACUACCUGCCCCAAGUUCUCUUGGGUUUGGCAGAGGAAUACACAGGGUGAUACUCAGAAAUUUGACAGCCAGGAUGGUACAGUCCCAACAAAUCAGAAAAGACAUUGAGAGUUAUCAGGACAAACACUAGCCAUCAGCAACUCCAGAGGCUGCCUCAGGAACUAUGGCUACAUAUCAGCCCCGCCUUCAGUACCGUGCACCAUGCACUAACUCCAUUUUUCUGCUACUUUCGUCUCUCUAUUCCAACGACCGCAAAAAUCUUGAUUCAUAACUCAUGACUGUGCAAAGUGCAGUCAUGUGUCCUUCAUCUUAUUAGAAUUCAUUAUAUAUAAAAUUUUCUGUUAUUUUUCUUCAGGGCAUAACCCUUACAGAAGAACUAUUUGAUGGCAACACACGUAGAAACAAGUAGACAAACACAGCUGUGAAUGAUAAACUCAAAUGACAGUGCUCAGGCAGACAACGGCCCUUCCAACAGUCCAGAACAGGCUUAUUUUAUCUUGUUGUCAUUAGGAUCAAAUGAAAAACAAAAUCUUAAAAUUCUUAUGGAGAACUCUCAGACACUUGAACAUACAUUCCUAAAUUCCAAGAGAGCCACAGAAUCCAUUCUGAGAAACACUGAUGUACUGACUGGUUAAAAAUAAUAAUUGCCCUAGAGGCAACUGAAUUCAUGUAUUUAAUAAUAAUAGCUAACAUUUAGCAGGUGCUUAUGCGUGCUUGGCAGCCAACAUAUAUGGUUUUCUGACCCCAAUGCCCUGCUCCAGUGCACAGUAAUUAGAAAGGAAUAACUAGCCUGGGCAACAUAGGGAGACCCCAUCUCUACAAAUAAUUUAAAAAAUUAGCCAGGUGUGGUGGCACAUGCCUGUAGUCCCAGCUACUAGGAGGGCCACCUGAACCUGGGAGGUUGAGGCUGUACUGAUCCAUGAUCAUGCCGCCACACUCCAACAUGGGUGACAGAGCAAGAGCCCAUCUCAGGGAAAAAAAAAAGGAGGCAAAGAACUAUUAUUUAUGGUUCAUAAUCCACAUGCUAGGCACUUCACUCAGUAUGCUGCAUGCAUUCAUGUAUAACUGUAAAAUACAUGUGCCAAGAGGACAUUAUCCCAAUUUUCCUGAUGAUUAAAGAACAACUGAUAGAUUAAGAAAUGUGUUCAGUCAUUUAGCUAGUAAACAGAAGAAACAGGAUUUGAAUUUAGUUCUUCCUGAUCCCAAUAUUGGAGUACCUCAGUAGGGGGUGGAAUCUCUCCAAUCCCUGCUAUGAGCCUAACACUCUAAUCCCAUUAUGGUAGACAGACUCAAAGCCCCCCAAAGAGGUCCAUGACCUAAUCCCCAAAACCUAUGAAUGUGUUACCUCACAUGACAAAGGGCACUUUGCAGGUGUGACCAAAUUAAGGACCUUGAGAAGGGGAGAUUAUCCUGGAUUACUGGGGAAGGAAGAAUGAGGAGGGACCAAUCUAAUAACGAGGGACCUUAUAACCAAAGGCGAUGGAGGUGCAGGAGAGUCAGAGUCAGAGAAAGAGAUGUGAAGACAGAAAGCAGGGGCCAUAAUUCAGGGACGAAAUUGCCAGCACUAAGGAUGGAAAGGGGCCAUGAGCCAAGGAAUCUAGGGAGCCUCUGGAAGCUGGAAAAGCCAAGGAACAGAUUCUCCUCUAGAACCUCCAGAAGGAACGCAGCCCUGCCAACUCCUUGAUUUUAGCCCCAUUUUGGACUCUGACCUCCAGAACUGUAAGUUUGUGUUAAGCCGCUAAGUUUGUAUUAUUAAAUAAUUUGUUACAGCAGCAUAGGAAAUUAAUAGAGCCAUACUAACACAGUGAAACAGAGGUUUGUGUUACAACUUCAGCUGUUCUGAGGUAGGCUUGCCAACUCUGAACUUAGGAUGAAAAGGAGAACAAUGACAAAGGAGUAAAUGGUGCUGAGGGGGGCCACUUAGGGAGAAAGUUAUAAAAAGGGAUAAAGUGACUCCUGGACAAAGCCUCCCAGAGGAGGUAAAAUAUGGAUUUCAGGGCUGAAUGCAUGAGACCACGUGCCGAAGCGUACUGCUGGUGGGUAAGGAAACACAAGUGCAGACAGGCGGCACUCACAACUCCAGUCGCUGCCUCCAUAAAGCCGCCCGUCCACCAGUCCCUGGAUGUUCUCCUAAGAGCAUUUCAGUUAUGUUCUCCCAAGAGAGCAUCCAAGGCCAUUUUAUAUUUUUCUGUUUUUGUUUUUCUUGAGAGAAUUUCUGGAAGAGUUGGCAAUUCUGGAAGAGGGCUACAGGGAGAGGAGGGCUUGGCCAUUUUCUGGUCACCGGUGAAUUCUGUUCAAGGCCAAGACCAACACCACUCCAGAGUGCCACACUUGAGAAACCAAGUCACUGUUAAAUAGGAAACUCUGACUCCACACUGGACCAUUUAGAAGACCAUUUGCAGUGGGGCCAAGUUUUUGCCCAGCCUACAGCCAGAGGAGCCACCACAGGAGACCAGAUACCCCUGAGUGUCAUCUAGCUACAGCGCAUAUCCCUCCCAGGUUUGGUCUGUAUUGGCCACCAGAGGCUGCACCACGUUUCGACUGCAGGGAUCUAUCCCCUGGUUUAAGAGCAAGAAAUCAAGUCUCCAGCCUCACGGACAGCACUGAAAGCCCCCAGUUCCCACAGCAACAGUGGGUUCCAAAGAUGAAGGGGUCAGGAGCCACCCAGUGACAUGCUGGAGCUGGGCACUGCAGCCCAGCUCUCUCCACACCAGUAUCCUUAAAAAAGCUAUAGAACCCGUCAAGUCUGACUUGAGUGCAGCUGUCUUCCUUCCCCAGAACCCCCUUGGUGGAGCCUCCCCAGAUUUCAUGGGUUUAUGCUCAGGUGGUUAUUAAGUAAGAUUAACUUUCUCAGUCACUCAACAAAUGUUUACUGAGCACAGAUGGGCACCAUGCCAAAUGUUGGGAAUACAGUUGCUCUCAGUGCUACAAAAAAGAGGGGUGUGGUGCCACAGAACAUGAGAGGACAAGAUGACCUAGGUAGGAAAGGCCUCCCCAAGGAAGGGAUGUUUGCACUGGAACCUGAAAAAAAGGCGCUAGCUAUUAAAAGGGGCUAGAUGAGGCAGCUCAGUAUCUCUCAGGGUAUUUAUCUGCAUUUAUGAAAUGCUUUGAAACCCAAAGGAAGGCAUAAAAAUGAUACCAAUGAAUAUAAAUAGCACUUUAUGGUUUAUAAAAUGUUUUUCCAUGCUUCAUCCCAGAUUCAACAAUAGCACUAGAGAGACAGAACAAGAAAUUUCAUGCUCUGCCUUUUAUAAAUGAGGAAACUGAGAUUAACAGCAGUUACAUGCCUCACCAAGGUUAUGAAGUCAAGGAGAAGACUCAAGUCUGGCUCUCAUUAUUCCUCAUUGAGAGCUCUUUUCACUACAUAGUGCUGCCUUCCCAGGAAAGCUAAAAAGUUAAACGACAGACUGGUGUUCAUAUUUACUAAUGCAAAUCAUACCAAACAUCUGGCUGCUGGACUCACCUAUUCACACAGUUGGACUGACAGUGCAAUGCCAGCAACCUGGUUUCAGCAUUACCAGCCACCCUGCACCUUCAACCAGCAACCUCCAAGCAAGCGGCGCCAGUGUCAGACCAAUCCCCAGCUCAAGGAGAACUUCCCUGAAAACUUUGUGAAUUGUUCUAAGCUAUACAGCUAAAAGAAAAUAAAAACAUGUUUCAAUUUAAAAA